ensembl:snoRNA
AAAACUGGCCUAUAUUUUGUUUAAUGUCUGGACUAAGACUUAUAGACAGGUACAAAAACUAAAUCCUCUUUUUCAACCCAAAACUCAUUGUCCAGUAUGAGUUUUGAUACAUUAUAAGAGAGGAUACU